rnacentral:lncRNA from 1 species
ACUGAUUUGGUUUAACAAUUCUUUCUUAUUUAAACUUAAGGCUGAAUACAUUGGUGGACCCUUAAACUUGCCCCUUUAUUCCACAUAGAGACUUAGAACUAAAGCUUGUUCGUAUUGAACACUUCAAUUAUGUUGAAUGUGUGUCAAUUGAACACAUAUUUUACAUUUCUAAACUAAGUUCAGUGUGUGAGUUUCACUCGCUGCGAAAUAGCAAAGUCGACCAACGAGUAAAAGCUACGUCAAAAUGAAACAAAAAUCUGGAAAAAAAAAUCAAAAAUCUAGACUGGAAAAAAAAGUAAUACUACCGGCCUAAAUAAUGUUUUCUUCGUUACCAAUUAUGCGAAAUUGAUGAAAAAUGUUUUCUUUAUGACAAAUCUGCGGGACAAAUAGUACCGACUGAAAAAGGGAACAUCGUGACUUCGAGCAUUAGCUUUGGAUAACAAAAAUGGUGUUGUACCGGAGAAAUCGUAGCACGGGAUCAAAAUCAAUGUCAGCAUUUAAUGUAGGUCUUCAAUCGAUUUUAUCUUCAAAUGCCUCCUUCAUCGGCUUUUUCGAACUAGUCAUGGCUGAACGGUGGGGCGACACCACCACCUCUGCUGCAAAAAACUUUUGAAGAAAAGUACCAGUACAUCCGCCGGAAUUUAAACCUUUGGAAGGAUUGAAAUAGUUUACCUUGCUGUGAUAAAUGCUCCCACAUGUCAUUAGGUGAAACAUCGGGUGGAUUAAUCUUUUGGAGCAGAUCUUGGUGGUGAAUGUUCCUCAAGCGCCGGAACCGGCAGUGUGCAACGGUAUCGGAAUUUCCUGAUUUAAGCUUCAAUGCCAGUUCCAAAAUGUGCUAAAGUUUUCUCUAAUGACGAUGCUUCACGAUUUAAGCUUCCCCAUUUGAUGAUAUGGAUUUGUUUGAGGAUAUAGAUUUUGCUCGUUUAGUGGUGUUGUUAAUAUAUUGGUCAAAAUGUGACCGUCUUAGGUGACCAUGACCCAUUCUUGCCAUCAUUUAGAAAGAGUCAAUAGAGGUAACUAGACCCCGCUUUGAAGAGAUUCAAUCCAAUGACCAAAGCAAGGCCUCUCCACGACCGAGGUCCUCCUCUGACCCAGUCACACCGAAGCGCGGCAAAAAUAGAAGGGUUCUUGAUUAUAUAUACAAGCCAAAGACAAUUUCGGAUGGAGGGGCUUCCGCUCCGUGAGCAUUAUCACAUAUUGAAAAGAACUGAACUCCACUUUGAGAAGGAGGAAAGAGAGUCAUACGCCUAGCAGAGAAGAAAUGAGCUCCAUCUUGUGUUU